GGAGGAAUAGCCGAGUGGUACAGCACCUGCUUAGAGUGCAGAAGGUCCCAGAUUCAAUCCCCAGCAUCUUCA